UAGGCUUGCUGUGAUCAGCUGCUAACAAUAUCGUAUAGUGUGUUCAGUUGAACUUGUGUCCAGUUUUUUGCGUUGAGUUGCACCCAUCCCAAAAAUAACUACCAAAAAAUACAGAUAAUUAAAAACAAAUGUCUGAGGGCAACAAGUAACGCAGAUUGCAGAAAAUCUGACGGUACUAUCCAUGAGAACCUAUAAUUUACAACAGUAGAAAAAGCUGUUACCAGCAUCACAAUAGACUUCUAUAAUAACCAACUAAACGAUUUGAAAAUCAUAGAAAAUACUGGUAAACUGAGAAACAACGAUUUAUUUUUCAUGUUAAAACACAAAUCCCGCAACAAGUGGUAAUAACAGCGUCAAAAUAUAAGAAUGAAAAACUGCAAUAUUGGUAUGGCAGAAGUACCUACGAUUUCCUUCAGAGAAUUAAUGGGCAUAGCAGCAUACACGGAAGAAGAGGAUGGAGUUUUAGAUCAUUUAAAAAUAUUGACCCUGCCCGUCGGUUGGCAAGGCCAUCAGAUACACAAGUUCCCGACCUCUUUGGCCAGGAAGCGACGAUUCAGGACCCCCAGAACACAUCCUAUAUAUCCUGAAGAAAUAUCCAAUUCGUUUUAUCAAUAAAAACGGCGAGCCCGGUCGACACCAUCGAAAAAUACGCAACAAAAGCAUUACCUGAGAGGAUGAAAGAAAUCGAAUCGGUGUUCCACCACGGAAUCCUAUAAAGAACCAACUGGGACUCCGGUUGCUUAUGACCAAUGUUUCUGAUUCCCAAACCGAGGGGACGAUACUCGCCAGGUUUUCAAACUUUGGUGUUCAAACAAGUAUCUGCAACCUGCAAACUUUCGCUGAGUCAACGCUGUUAUCGUUGUUUAUCCUUCAUGGGGCAACUCUACAACGCAUCGUGUCUUCCUUGCGGCUUAUCGACGGUUCUAGCGGCUUACUCAAACAUAUCCAACUGGAUUACACGCAUCCUUCUUCAAAGAGAUAUGUGAGUUCUGGUUUCUGGACGGUUUUCUUUUGGCCCAUCAGGCCGCUCAGAUACGUCAGGGUAGAUUCGGCGGGCUCCGAAGUUUCUACCCUUCCUGAAUUGGGUUAUUAGCAUUCGAAAAUUAAUCAUCCAGUCUUGCCACGGAAUCGAGUUUCUAGGAAUUAUCUGAGGCCCAAGAGUUAAUUUAAUGAUACUCUCAGGAGACAAGAAAGUACGGACCCUAUAGUUGUUGAAAUAGGUGGCGAAGUUGAGAUCCUGGAAAUAGAAAAGGUAAGCUCUCCUGGGAAUGCUAAAUUUUGCUUGUACAGUAAUACCCUUAGAACGCCUCUUUUGUCGCCAAUUACAACGAGAAGCGCGCCAUUUAUUACAACCCUUCCCAAAAAGGACAUACCUUCUUCUCUCAUUACCUUACAUCGACUGUCAGUGGUAGAAAAAGAACAUCAAUCAGACAUGACCUAUUUCCUAGUCAGAACAAAGGAUCUUCAUCUCAACAGAUGCUUUGCAGUCAGGUUGAAGUCCAUUUGGACGAGAUUUCCUAUUGCGGGGCAUGGUCUCGAUCUUAGUCAGCGUGGCACAUGAACAAACAAGAACUGUUCACUCUAUUGGUAGCAGUCCAAGCUUUAAUGGAUCGUCUCGAGGAUGAGACAAUCAUGUUACAGUUAGGCAAGAAAACGGCCCUGGCUUACAUCAGGAAUCAGAAAGAAACACGUUCCCAGGUAAUAGUGGGGCUGAUGAAGGAACUUCUACUUUGGCUAAAAAAAUACAGAAGCACCUUCAUUCCGUUCUUCCUCACGGGAAUUACAACACGUGGGUAGACAGACUAUAAAAAAAUGUUGCCCUGUCGGAGUGGCACUUAAGUCUGGAAAUUCAAUAAAGGGUAGAGCAGAAUUGGGCAACGCCAACAAUAGACCAUUUGGCGAUCAUCCACUCCAAAAUAGUACCGACUUAUGUGUCAAUCGAUGCGAGUGACCAGAACGUCGCAGUCAUCAAUGCAUUCAGCAGUUGAAGCAUGGGUGUUUCCGCCUCUUUCGGUAAUUCCAAAAGUUUUACACACUAAAAUUUAGGAAAGAGAAUCUUCCUGGUGGUCGUACCGAGGUGGGCCAAGACCUUCUGGAGGAACACCUUGAAACGCAGAAGUCUCGAUGCCUCAUUCCAAGUUCUGCAUCUCAAGAAACACCUGAAAGACCUAUCGACAGGGGUCCACCUCAGAAUGUCGACCACCUCUUUCUGCAGGUUUGCAAGGUAUGGGGUGGAGUCAUUCAAUAAGGGGAUUAGCAGAAUCUGAGAUCAAACUCCUCGGCGCGGCUUAGAGGAACACUUCCUGGAAGACAUAUUCUUCGAUUUGGAGUCAGUGGGGGACCUGGUGCAAAGAAAAGGGGACUCAGUCAGACACUCCCUCAGCACAGCAACUGGUGGCAUAUCUGAGUUACUUUUUCAAUGAGAGGAGAUUAGCCUAAAGCCGGAUCCUCACGCAAAAGUUAGCAAUUUCGUCCCUGGCUAAAAGGGGAAACAAGGAGAGUUUGAGCUCUGAUCGAAAAUAACCAUCUGAAAUAUAGAGACGAUGACGACCUGGCAGUUAGACUAUUCACCUUCGCCUAGAGAAGACAAUCUUUACCUGGAGGCGACAAUUUUUUCCAGACCUCGCACUUCGUCGCUCUCCUUCUUCUGAUGGUAUCGUGGAGAAGAAUACAUGAUCGUACCCUCCUUUCGAUCAAUCCAGAGUUCUACACGGUUGACGAAGGCAAAAUUGUUUUUUGCACGAAAUUAUGAUCCAAAAUAGAGUCGGCGAAUUAUCGUCUAUCGGAAUAGCAAAUCUCACAUUCGGGAGAUGCUUUAUUUGAUCUGGUGAGGUGGAUUAAAAUGUUGAUGAAUCUGUCAGAGAAAAGACGUAGGACCCGGGAAGAAUUCACAGCUCUUUUCAUUCCAACGACAGAGAUGGUCAAAGCACCCUCGAGAACGAUCAUCGCGGGUUAAAUAGGAACUGCCCCUUCAGAAGCAAAAAUUCAGGCAAGUCUAGGAUCAGCACGUUCAGUGAUAGCCCCUAAUAAUUUUCAAGACACGAGGAAUAUGCAGAAAGCACUACGAAAGUGUAACUGGAAGGUUCCUGAUAAUUUCUUCAAGUAUUACUAUAAAGUUAUGAAGGAGCCAAAGAGUCCAGAAUCAAGGAAGCCCCUUAGGGACUGCUUUAAUCCAAUCUGAUAUAGUAGAGCUAUAUCAUAUGGAUUUUAUGAUAAUUACGUUCUCGGAGAUAUGAAUAAACAUUUCGUCCUUUAAAAUCACAGUACGGCUUUAUACUGCCGGCAGAUUUUAAAUACCUCUCCAAAGGGUCAACCCGAGGGCACAAACAUAAAAUAGAAUCGUUUUCCACCCUGGAGGAAAGAGAGCGUGUAUUUCAGGUCUUGGCGAGGCUCGAUUGACCCGAGCAAGGGUAUUUUUAUUUUUGAAUGAAGGCAUUAUAAUUGUUGAAAUGUAUUGAUUCUGACCCGAAAACUUUGAAAAUUCCAUCUUAAACAACAUUCAAACCUUCACCGUUGAUUGGGUGCUAAUGCACCUGUGAAGUGAAAUAAUUUUUUCAAAUUAGAAAAUUCAAUUCAUUUAUUAAAUUUUCAAGUCUUAAGGUUUUUCAACGAUAACUGGACAAUAAAAAGUUAUGGAAUACUUCAAUGAGAGCUUAAAAAUGAAUGUAAAUCAAGAUUUAAUGAAAUGGUCAUUAUUCAGAAUUGUUCCGGUGACUUGGUGAUGAAGUUCGAAGUUAGAAAUAAUAGUGAUAACGACCAUGUCGAAAUCUGAUUAGACUGUAUGUAAUGAAAAAGCAUUGCCUAUGUUGUUUUCCUAUUCACAUACAAAGAAUUUAUGUGAACGAAAUUUCCAAAACGGGCGCAAAAAACGUUCAAUCCAGGAACAAAAAAUUAGGGAGUAAAUUAGGGAGUAAGCGUGGUUGCAGAAAAGAUUCAGCAAGCUUAUUUCAAACAUCAAUGCAGCUAAUGCACUUUUAUUUCAGUUUUUAACCCAAUUGUGAAUGGUUGACCAGGUUGGACGAAUAUUCCCACACGAAACCAUAUAAAUAAUAAAAUAAGUACUACCAACAAUUCUUAUUUAAAUAAAUCUAUUAUUUCAAUUUCAUUACCGCAUUUUUCAUCAAGCAUCCAUUGUAGCAGCAUAUCAUAAGAAAUGUUCAUAUCCCCAUGGAAUCAUUUCAUGUAAUUACAGAGGAUGUUAAAUUCUUUUUGCAAUCUGCAUUGUAGGUCAGAAUGUUUUAUUCAACGACUAAAUAAUCCAAUUCCUAAUACAAAACCACAGAAAAUUAAAAACCAAUCGCGUCGACAUCCUUUUCAUAUUGUACAUUUGGAAAAAAA